rnacentral:rRNA from 1 species
GGUGAACGCUAGCGGCAGGCCUAAUACAUGCAAGUCGAGCGGCAAGUCGAGGAGUAAUCUAAGACCUAGAGCGGCGCACGGGUGCGUAACGCGUAUGCAACCUACCUUAUACUGGGGGAUAGCCCGGAGAAAUCUGGAUUAAUACCCCAUGGCACAUAUUGAUGGCAUCUGAGAUAUGUUAAAGAUUUAUUGGUGUAAGAUGGGCAUGCGUCUGAUUAGCUAGUUGGCGGUGUAACGGACCACCAAGGCGACGAUCAGUAGGGGUUCUGAGAGGAAGGUCCCCCACACUGGCACUGAGAUACGGGCCAGACUCCUACGGGAGGCAGCAGUAGGGAAUAUUGGGGCAAUGGUCGGAAGACUGACCCAGCCAUGCCGCGUGCAGGAAGACGGCCCUCUGGGUUGUAAACUGCUUUUAUCUGGGAAGAAAAAGUCCAUGCGUGGAAAAUUGCCGGUACCAGAUG